GUUGGGUCAUUUUAUUGGGUUAAUUUUAAUAUUGUUUUACCCAGGUGCUGGGUAAUUUUUACAGUCAAUACAAAUGAUGUACCCCCUCACAUACCCAGCGCUGGGUCAGUGUAACCCAAUGUUGGGUAGUCUGUGACAAACUGGUUAAAACUGGAUAUGUUUGUCAGUGGUCAUUUUGUGUUCUGUCCUAACUCCUAAGAGAAACUUGACUGACGGGAAACUUUCUGAAUGGAAUUAAGCUAACAUCUGCUUGGAACUCUAGCCUUCUACAAACACAGCAUUCAUUGGAUCUACACUCAAAGUGAACGUCGCCCCGGUGCCACCACGGAAGUUUCACCUCCAGUCAAACUAAUGCUCGACCAGGGCUGAAACACGACGCUACUUCACUGUUAUAUGUAACAAAGUUUCUGUGUGCUCCACUGACUACAACAGGAGUGCUAUUGAUCUAGUGUGCCAUUGUUGCAGCUGUGGUCGCACUGUGUUUGACGGGUUGAAACUUAAAUGUCGGACAGACAAGAUGGCACGAGAUUCCCAUUGGCUGCUCCUGUCACGUCCCACUACCUUUACUGAAUGUUUUUGAAGAUUUCAUGAUUGUAAAAGACUGACUUGACAUUGAACAAAAAAUAUUCUAUAUGAACUGUUCUUGUCCUAUAUAAAACAGAUUUUAAAUUACAUUUUUGUUAUUUAAAAUGAAAAACCUUCAAUAGGUUGACUGACCCAGCACUAUGUCAAAAAAACAACCCAGUAAAUGGGUUAAUGUAUAAAACCCAACUAGCUGGGUCAAAAUAACCCAGCAUCUGUUCUGUCUAAUAUUUACCCAGUGCUGGGUUGCCAAAUAACCCAGAAUUGUUUUUUUUUUAACCCAGCAUUUUUCUUAGAGUGUAUAUUCAUGCCU